GACGAACGCUGGCGGCGCGCCUAACACAUGCAAGUCGAGCGGAGAUAUACGAAGAGUAAUCCGAGUAUAUCUUAGCGGCGGACGGGUGAGUAACGCGUGAGUGACCUGCCUCUUACAGGGGAAUAACGUGCCGAAAGGCACACUAAUACCGCAUAAGACCACGAAACCGCAUGGUUAUGAGGUCAAAGGAGCAAUCCGGUAAGAGAUGGGCUCGCGUCCGAUUAGAUAGUUGGUGAGGUAACGGCCCACCAAGUCGACGAUCGGUAGCCGACCUGAGAGGGUGAUCGGCCACAUUGGAACUGAGAGACGGUCCAAACUCCUACGGGAGGCAGCAGUGGGGAAUAUUGGGCAAUGGGGGAAACCCUGACCCAGCGACGCCGCGUGAGGGAAGAAGGUUUUCGGAUUGUAAACCUCUGUUCUUGGUGAAGAGGGGAAGACGGUAGCCAAGGAGGAAGCCCCGGCUAACUACGU
rnacentral:rRNA from 1 species